rnacentral:tRNA from 1 species
CGGUAUUCAUCGUCGACGGCAGCCGGACGCCGUUCCUGAAGGCGCGCUCGGGGCCCGGGCCGUUCACGCCGGUCGAUCUCGCCGU